AGCUUUAUAGUCAAUAAUGACAUUAGACUGCAAUUCUAAAGGAGUAAAUAUUUACUAAGGCUU
rnacentral:tRNA from 3 species